CGCCCGGUCUUCUGGAGCUGAGGACUCGGGAAAUCAAGCAGUAGAGGCGAGACUUGGGCUGUUUUAGAGCCGCUGACAUCCGAGGAGCCUUCUCCUGG
rfam:Pteropus vampyrus cont1.99869, whole genome shotgun sequence.